AUCAGCACAGUAAUACAACUAAGAAAGUUUCUGUUGAAAAUUAAUAAAUAACUGAUUAGUAUUAAACAAUUUAAUAAUACUUUUGUAACUAAAAAACUGUUUUACAAUAUUGUAAAUAAUUUUGGUAAAAGAAAUUAAAGUAACUGAAAGUAAAAUAAUAAAGUAAUAAACAUCUCCCGGCGUAGCAAUAUUGCGAUUGACCAGCUGGCCGUGCGAAUAUUGUACUUUGUGAGUAGGUAAUAUAAAAUUCAAGGUCGUACUAAGCGUGUAGAGAUGAUUUAUUAUAAAAAAAACAACAGUACCAACAAUAACACCAAAAGAAAUUAUACCGUAUAGUAAUAAUAUUAAUAUACACACUUUGUACCCACACACCACCUCCGUACCGUUUUCACUUUGCAGUAUUACGCGCUUUGAGUCCAGCUGUAAUUGUGACAAACAAGUGAUAAAUUAUUCACAAUAUUUAAAAAAAAAAACACUAAAUCAUUCGCAAUGACUUGGUACACGCGAACGCAGUCACAAAUAGUGCUAACUUUUUAUUCUAUUAAAUAAGUUAUUCGGCCUACAAUAUUAUCAUACUUGCUUUUAACAAAAUGUCCAUGUAUUUUGUAUUAUUUUACUACAGAAAACACUUUAACACGUAAAAGGCAUUAGUGAAAAACGCUGCAUUACAUUUAAUGUUUUCACAUAACGCGCAACAGGAAAUAAAGCAAUGACAAAAUACGGUGCAUAAGUUUACCAGGGUUCUUUCUAAAAAAAAAAAAAAAAAGAACUGGUUCUGAGCAAAAUGUGACUAUUAAUCAAUCAAAAAUAGAGUUCAAAAUUCCAUGCCAAAAAAAUUAAAACAGAAAAAAGAGUUGAGCGGACAAAGACUUGGCGAAAAUUCAGUUCAAUUUCAAACACUCUGUACAAAAAAACAAAAUGCUAUUGUUUUGUAUAUUUUUAAAUAAAUCGUAAAAAUAAGUUUUAAUUGAUUCUCUCAAGUCUCUUUAAAUGACUAUGUAGUCAUUUACAUUUAAAAAAAUUAAUAAUUUUUUAAAAUGUUUUAA